AAGCUUUCAUUCUUGUUGCUUUCUGUUCUCAUUGUAAUCUCUAGUUCUUAGGUUUGCUUCUAAUCUGUAUUUGAUGAUUGUGAGGCUAUUUUUGUUAGAGGAACCAUUGAUGUACAGUUUGUAAGCAUUGAUCUUGUAACCCUACUCGAUAUAAUGCAGUGAGCUCUUUCUUCCUAAGCUCAACGUGGACGUAGCCCUAUUUGGGUGAACCACGUUUGUUAGAGGUUUUUAGCUCAAAGGAAUCCACGUGCAAGUGGAGCAAGCUGGCAAAGGCGGUUACAACAGCCAGGCUGCAGUGAAUCUUCCUUGGCUGGUUGUAUAAAUUCCCCUCCACCCAUUUCUGAGAUUUUCAUGAAAAAGAAUAUCAGAUCAUCCAUUCUCUCACAGUCUCUUUCUCUCUUUAUUUCUUUUAUUUCUCCCUAUCUCCUUAAUUUCUUCCUCACCUCACUACUUAGUCGUUAGAAGAAAUCUUUCCAUUCAUAGCGAAUAAGAAGAAAGAAGGCUUGUUAGGAUCAAACCGUGACAAAUUGGUAUCAGAGCCCUGGUCUUCGGCGUCGCUAGCUGAAACCAUGGCAGAAGGUACUCGCACGAAGGUGCUGGAGUCACAACUACAACAGUUUCGCUCAGCUAUGGUCGAUACCCAGAAUCGGAUUGAACAAUUGGAAUUAGGAGUGACUCGGAAUCACGAAGCGACCAUGGCAAUGGAUUGCAAGGUAGAAAGCUCCAUAGAAGGUCUGGAGCAGGGAUUGGAAGGUUCCAUAGCAAGGGUGAGAGAGGAGUUGGGUGCCCAAAUGCAGCAAUUUGUGAUGAUGUUUGCUCGUCAAAACAGGGUAAGUUUAUCUCCCGACUUUCCCCCUAGAGAAAGAACAGAGCCAAUCCUUCAGGAAAAUGGGAGAGAUAGGGGAUAGGGCACCUCGAAGAUUGAGGGUGACCCAGAAGAAGAAGUGGAAGGCUUACUGGAUAGGGGAAGGGAUGGUCCCAAUUAAUCCCCACCAACUAGGGUUUCCCUUGCCUCGGAUGAACAUUCCUACAUUCGAUGGCGUCAACUCUCGUUGGUGGCUGAGAAAAUGUAAAAGGAUGUUUGAUUGGUAUAAUAUUCCAGAAGGGCAUAGGGUGUUGUUAGCAUCAGCUUACUUCAAUGAAGCUGUGGAUGCCUGGUUUCAGGGGUGUCUUAGGCUAAGGAGGAAUGGUACAUAGGAAGAGCUUUCGAAGAAAUUGUGUGAAAGAUUUGGGGAGAUGAGCAUGGUGGAUAUAAUAGAAGAGUUUAAUAAACUCAAACAGACUGGGAGUGUGAAGGCAUACCAGAUGUGUUUUGAGGAGCUGAGUUCGCUCAUGAUCCAGCAUAACCCCCAUCUAUCAGAAACCUAUUUCUUAUCCAGCUAUUUGAGUGGACUUAAUGAUGAACUUAAGCCCAUGGUAAAGGUGUUAAGGCCUCAAACCAUAGAACAAGCAACUGAAAACUCCUGGUUACAAGAACUGGUGGUGAAAGCUUUGUUAAAAAAAUAGAGGCAGUAGGCAAAAGGGAUGGUGGCAGGGGCCUCUAACUUAGGAGGAAGAGGAUAUGGCCAGGAACUAGCAAAGGUGACCGGUGGUGGUAAAUGUGGAUUGGGCCCGAGCUCAAUGCCUUUUGGGGAGCAAUUAAGGGAAUAGAGGAGACUAGCUGGACUUUGUUUUCAUUGUGGGGACAAAUACCACAUUAGCCAUCAGUGUAAGAGGCAGAUUUUGUUGUUGGAAGUGAAGAAAGGGAGCUAAGUGGGAUGGAAGGAGCCGCAGAGGAGGUCGAGGAGGAAGAUAAUGGGGAAAUAUCCCUCCAUGCAUUGAAGGGAGUUGCCAACAACAAGAUUAUUAAGGUAGAAUGGCAGAUCAAGGGGGGGAACCUCAUGAUCCUGAUAGAUAGUAGGAGUACCCACAACUUUCUUGAUGAAGGCAUGGCCCAGAGGUUGACGUGUCCACUCGAGGGAACACCACCCUUGAGUGUAACAGUGGCUAACAGUCAUAGGGUAUUAAGCAAAUCGGCCUGCAAUGGUUUUUGUUGGAAAAUGCAAGAAGAGGAGUUCGAGGCAGAUUUGAGGCUCUUGCAAUUGGGAGGCUGUGAUGUGGUUUUGGGGGUGCAUUGGAUGAAGGGAGUUAGUCCCAUCAGUUUUGACUUCAACAAGAUGGAGGUGUCUUUUGAAAGGGAAGGACGGACACUGACUCUAACUGGGGAAAGAAAGGCAGGAACCUGCAAAUUGAUCACUGGAAAGAGGUUGAAAAAGGUGUUCAAAAGCCGGUGGGACCAUCUAACUCAAUUAUUUUCCAUUGUGGAGAUGGAGGAAGACGUGAGCAGUACAGGGAACCAAGGAGAAAUUCACUUCCAAGUUAGCACAUCGGAGGGAAUGCUUGACCAGGUACACAAUUCGGUUCUCCUUGAUAAAUUGUUGAUUGAAUUUGAGGAUUUAUUCAUGGAACCGAAAACCCUUCCUCCUACCCGUGAAUUAGACCAUGCCAUUAACCUCAAACCCAAUUCAGAACCCAUUAACAUUCGAUCCUACCACUACCCACCUGUCUAGAAAUCAAUGAUAGAAAAAAUGGUGAGGGAAAUGGUGCAAUAGUCCAUAAAAUCCAGCCAUAGCCCGUUUGCAUCUCCUAUCCUACUAGUAAAAAAAAAAGAUGGGUCAUGGCUAUUUUGGAUUAUCGCCAACUUAACGCUAUGACUAUCAAGGACAAAUUCCCUAUACCACUAGUGGAGGAUCUCUUGGAUGAACUCCAUCAAGCCAAGUUUUUUUCAAAGUUGACCUACGCUCGGGUUAUCAUCAAAUAAGGAUGAGACCUGAGGAUACCCAUAAAACAGCCUUUAGGACAACACUAUGACCAUUUUGAAUUUUUGAUGAUCCCAUUUGGACUCACCAAUGCUCUAGCCACUUUUCAAUCGCUUAUGAACCAAAUAUUUGAGCCCUACUUAAGAAAAUUUAUACUAAUGUUCUUUGAUGAUAUCCUCAUUUAUAGCCCCUCCUUUGAUCAACACUUGAGCCACUUGAGAACCACAUUUGAAAUCCUCAGAUCCAAUCGGCUCUUUAUCAAAAGAACCAAGUGUGCUUUCGGUCAAAUUCAAGUGGAAUGCUUGGGACAUCUGAUCUCAAAAGAAGGAGUUAGCACAAAUCCUAAAAAGAUGGAAGCCAUGGUGGCUUGGCCAUGACCAAGGACAGUCAAAGCAUUGAGGGGAUUCCUUGGAUUGACCGGUUAUUAUCGCUGGUUUGUUAAGAAUUAUGGGGGUCAUUAGCAAACUAUUGAUUGAGCUUUUUAAGAAUGAGGGAUUUAAUUGGGGGCUAGAGGCGGAUACAGCCUUUGAAAGGCUGAAGGAGGCGGUGAGUAGGGUACCUAUCCUCAGGUUACCAGAUUUCAGCAAGCCUUUCGUCCUAGAGACCGACGCUUGUGCAACAGGGGUUAGGGCAGUUCUAAUGUAGGAGGGAAGGCCGUUAGCCUUCCUUAGCCAGGCUCUUGGUGCUAAACAUGUGGGGCUUAGCAUCUACAAAAAAGAGUUUUUGGCUGUGUUAAUAGUUGUGGAAAAAUGGAGGCAUUAUUUGGAGGGGGGGAGGUUUGUUAUCAAGACAGACCAUGAGAGCUUAAAGUUUCUUUUGCAACAAAAAUUGCACACCCAGCUUCAAAAGAAAGGGAUGUCCAAGCUAUUGGGAUUAGAUUAUAUUAUUCAGUACAAGAAAGGAAAGGAAAAUGUGGUUGCGGACGCCCUCUCUAGAUGUCAUGAAAAAGGGAGUUUGGUCACCAUUACUGCUUUAGUACCCGAGUGGUGUCAAGAGGUAAUAGCUAGUUAUGAAAGGGAUGAGAAAGUAAAGGCCUUGUUGGAAAAGGCAACUAUCAGCCAAGAUGGGGACGGAGAUUACUCCUUAGUGGGAGGCUUGCUGAGACACCAAGGCUGGUUCUAGGAAACAAUGGUGUACUCAAGAGGAAGAUAAUACAGUCCCUGCAUGGGUCUGCAAUGGGGGGACACUCAGGGGUGCAGAAUACCUACACACGAGUGAAGCAGCUAUUCUUUUGGCCAGGGCUCAAAACGGAAGUGAAGAAGUUCGUAGUAGCUUAUGAUAUCUGCCAGAGGUGCAAGAGUGAAACCAUGGCCUACCCGGGCCUUUUGCAGCCACUACCCAUUUCGGACCAAGCAUGGGAGAGUUUAUCUAUGGAUUUCAUUGAGGGAUUACCAAAAUCGAAAGGUAGGGACAACAUUUUGAUGGUAGUCGAUAGGCUAACCAAGUUUGUGCACUUUAUAGGACUCACACACCCCUUUACAGCCCAAGAUGUGGCUAGAGUUUUCUUAGAUCAAGUGGUAAAAUGCAUAGAGUUCCUAAGACCAUAAUAUCAGACCGAGAUAAAAAUUUUACCAGCCUUUUAUGGAGGGAGCUGAUGAGGGCGCUGGGCACAAGGUUGAACAUGUCUACGACUAUCAUCCUCAAACGGACAGCCAAACAGAGAAGGUUAAUCAAGGGUUGGAAACAUACUUAAAAUGUGUAAGCUUCCUACAUCCUAAGAGCUGGCACAUGUGGUUAUCCUUGGCCCAAUGGUGGUACAACUCUAACCACCACACAUCCUUUAAGAUGUCCCCAUUCAAAGCCCUGUUUGGUUACAAACCGCCUAUUUUACCAGCAAUGGGCAACUAUUCAACGAUGGCCACCGUGGAGGAAUAUUUGCAACAAAGAAAGGAGGUUUUGCAGCAGCUAAAAAGGGAGUUAGCUUCAGCUCAAAACAAGAUGAAGCAAAUUUUGGAUCACAAGAGAAGUGAGGAAUUUUGAGGUGGGAGAAGAAGUGUAUUUGUGGCUUCGGUACCUUCAUUUGAAGUCUAUAUCCCGCAGACAAGUGUCCAAGCUUAGCCCUAAAUAUUAUAGGCCCUUUCCCAUAGUUGCUAAGAUCGGACAAGUAGCCUAUCAACUGCAACUUCCAGAGAACUCCCACAUCCACUUAGUGUUCCAUGUGUCCCUCUUGAAGAAGUCAGUAGGAGCACAAAGGGUGAGUCCCUCCCUACAUACGAUGCCUAGGGAAAACUAUGAAGCUCUAGAACCGAAGGCUAUAGUGGACAUGCGAGUCAUUUACCAACGGCACCACUAAUCCAGGUAUUAGUCAAGUGGUGAGAUAAGAUGGCUGAGGACAACACUUGGGAGUACCUUCCUAAUUUGCUCAAGCAGUUCCCAAGAUCAACCAAUCUUCUCACUAUUCUUGAGGAUAAGAAUUCUUGAACGAGGGGGGAAAUGUCACGCUACGAGACAUACCUUAGGAAUGAAUUUUUUUUUUCUUGCAUUCUGUUAGUAUUAUUCUGUUAGUGUUAUUUCAGCCAUUUCAAUUUUUGUAAUGCUGUAGUUUGUUAGAGGUUUUUAGCUCAAAGGAAUCCACGUGCAAGUGGAAUAAGCUGGCAGAGGCGGUUACAACAGCCAGGCUAUAGGGAAUCUUCCUUAGUUGGUUGUAUAAAUUCCCCUCCACCCAUUUUCAAGAUUUUCAUGAAAAAGAAUAUCAGAUCAUCCAUUCUCUCACAGUCUCUUUCUCUCUCUGUUUCUCUUAUUUCUCCCUAUCUCCUUAAUUUCUUCCUCACCUCACUACUUAGUCGUUAGAAGAAAUCUUCCCAUUCAUAGCGAAUAGGAAGAAAGAAGGCUUGUCAAGAUCAAACCGUGAUAGCAUGAGAAGAUGAUUUCAUAAACAACCACAAUCUAAGAAUGCUUAUGAAAGAAAAAAGAAAAGGAUUUUGUCAUAUGUAAUGAUCAAAGCAAAAGAUCUGCACAGUUCAACCUCUCAUGUAGUUGAAAUGCUCAUGGACAGACAUGCUUCAGAUGAUCAUUUUCCAUUAUUGAAUGUUCAAUUCUAUCAAAAUUUUAUCAUUUUCGUGGCUUUGUUCUGGUCGAAUUUAUACGUAGAACAUCUCUUCAACAGACAACCCCUCUUACUGAAAAUGUUAGUUGAUUUUUUUUCCUGGCAAUUUUGCCUUUUCAUAGUAUAAUAAACUGACAGUUUUAUACCUGCACUUGCUUAAAUAUGUAAUGAUGUUCCUCCUUGGUGAAAUCUAUAAUUUAUUGGCAAAUCUCUAUUGUAUCUAAAGGAUUCUUUGGUUGUUUGCCGCCUUCGGAAGAAUAGUGAGCCUCGAUUAAAUUAUAUGCCAAGAGAGGGUUCUUCCAGUCAAAAUCUUUUAACACCUGAGAACAAUAAUAAUUUUAGUUUAUCUGAAGCGUGUGCUGAACAGUCGAGCUUGUUUAAAGGAGCCAAGUUAGUUGAAUGUUGCUCAAAGGACUGUAACAACAGUAAUAAUUCUCACUCAGAUGAACAGCCGAUUGAUGCUGGAUCCGAGUCUGAUCAGAAACCGAAGGACGAGUUUUCUCAACCUGACUUUACCCACCAGCAGCCAAGGACAGGCUUGAUCCCGGCACCUUAAUUUCUUCACAUUGCAGGAUUGUGAUGACGAUGAGUGCUAUGCCGAGAUACUAAAAGAUGAUAUUGUCGACCUGGGCAAAUCUUUACUACCGCGAACUCCUGAUCUCAUACCAGUGGUGGCUGACAAGUCCGAGGAUGAGAGCUGGUCUCAACAGCAAGAGCAAACAAUUCCACCAGAUGUUCUUCCUUUCCAAAGCCAGAAACAUACCUUGCCGAUUCACUCGAGGGCGAGGAAUCGAUCUCUCCAAACUCGGAGCAGUUACCAAAAUAUAUGAAGAACUCAGUGGCAGAGAGGAAACUGAAUCAUCUCUCUAUGUUCACGUUGCUGGUUGUCCUGAUUCUGCUGGUCUUGUUGGGAGGUGCCUGGCUGCUCAAACGGUUCCCACGUGCUUGGUCGUUGUGAAUUAAGUUGGUGUCUUGUGUUUUUAUUAGGGGCAAUCUUUUUUUUGAGUUGUGCUGUUUGUACAGAAAUAAUGUUACAGAAAUUUUACAGAAUGGAAUGAAAUGACCAGAUUAACCCUCUAUUAAAUGGCCAAAUUGGCCCUUGAUAAAUUACCCAAUGAAACCCUAAAAGACUCUCUCUUUCACUCGAUCUCUCCCUGUCGUAGACGAAAUCGGAACCAUCAGCGCCUCUGCCUCUCCCUUUCACGAUCGUCGAUCCACCUUCCCGCCACGAUUGUUGAGGCUCUCUUUCACUCUCCCUCUCCCUAUUGCACACACUGUCGGUCCCAUCCGCCUCUGCCUCUCCCUUUGACGACCGUCAGCCCACCCUCCGGCCACCCCUCUGACACGACUGGCUUUCUUUCUCACUCUCUCUCUCUCUCGAUUGCUCUCACAACCGUCGGACACCAUCUCUCUCUCUCGGUUGCUCUCACAACCGCCGGACACCAUCUCUCUCUCUCUCUCUCUCUCUCGCCUCCACCCGCUGCCCAGAAAUCCCCAAAUCGAAACCCACAAAUCCCCAAAACGAAACCCACAACCCCCACCGCUCGUCGGCAAUCACACCCAACGUCCCUAGUAUGUAGUACUUUUGAGUUGUAUAUAUUGCCUAUGUAUUCACAUAAUGAGUUGUGCAUUGUCGUGUUAUUUGUCUAUGUAUUCGACUUUACAAUGCUACUUUCGAUUUGAUGAAAAUUGACAGUGGUGUUUGUCCUCCUAAAUUUUCAUCUCUUAAUUAUAUACUACAUGUUCCUAGCAUUAACAUCAUCCAUAACUCCUCUCAUGGUUCUCUGUUGGCUAGUUUAAAUUGUUAAAAAACACAUCAGAAUAGCAUUCUCUGUCAAUUAGCAGUAAAUGUGCAACUCAUUAAGUUAUUGAGUAGACAAAUCCAACAGUCAUGUAGCUUUAUUCCUACGCUUAGAUGCUCUUUAUUCAUAUAUGGUACAAUUAAUUAAUUAUUACAUGAGCAUAAUUGCUCCAAUGUCUUAUAUAUACACUCUCUGUUACAUUAGAAAAAUUGUGAGACCCCCAACAACUCCUUUGAUUUGUGAAAAAUGCAUUUUUUUUAUUCGUAAAUAUCACUAGUAUAAUAAUCAUUUUUUACAACCACGUAUGAGCUAUUUUUAUAAAAUGGAGCUGGUGAUUUUUGUAAAAAAGAAUUUUAUAUAUUCUUAUAAAGCUUCUUAAUUAAGUCAAAGGGUGUCAAAGGGUGUCACGUAUCAAAAAAUAAUGGGAGUAAAGUAGGGUGGGAUGCUACAAUUAAUCUCCUUAACUUUCAUCCCUCAAUAAUAUGGCUUAAAAUGAAAAUAAAUAUUUCUUAGUUAAAAGUAUCCUUCAUCAUCCUCCUUCUGCAACGAAGAGGCCAUUAUGGCAUUAUGUAUUAUUUUUUCCUUGUAUAGUUUAUUACAACUAUUGUACUCUUCAACAUGAUUUUAAUAUCAAUAUUUGAGCAUGUUCAACAUGCUGCACCGCUAAAGAUUAUAUAUAAUUAUAAUCAUACUACUACGAUUAUAUUUGAGCAUGUUCAACUAUUGUACCUUCUUUACAAGUUGGCAAUGUUUGUCUGUUAAUUUAAUAGAUGGGCCCUUGAUUGAAUUGAAAGUACACUAGCUAGCUAGGAGUUGUCUUUGUGUAAAUAUUAAGGCAUGGGGAGGGAUAUAUAUAUAUAUAUAUAGUAGAUGAAAGGAACAAACAAACAAACAAUUUGUACAUCACUCGUUUUCACUUUUAGUUUGUUUAAUUAUAUACAUACAUAUAUCAUUCAUUGAAUCAGCAUUUCAUUGAUCUAACUCUCAUUGUACAAAAGGUCAACUGGAUUGAAG